UACGAAGGGGGCUAGCGUUGCUCGGAAUCACUGGGCGUAAAGCGCACGUAGGCGGCUUUCUAAGUCAGGGGUGAAAUCCUGGAGCUCAACUCCAGAACUGCCUUUGAUACUGGAGAGCUUGAGUCCGGGAGAGGUGAGUGGAACUCCGAGUGUAGAGGUGAAAUUCGUAGAUAUUCGGAAGAACACCAGUGGCGAAGGCGGCUCACUGGCCCGGUACUGACGCUGAUGUGCGAAAGCGUGGGGAGCAACAGGA
rnacentral:rRNA from 1 species